rnacentral:lncRNA from 1 species
AUGGCAGAUGGCAUCUCCCAGAGUGAGGGAUAUAAAAGAGAGGGCUGAACUUUGGGGACACACGUAUUGUGGGUCAAAAUGCCUUCCCCAAUUCCAACUCAUUAGGUUUUACGGAACUAUGAGAACCAUAUCCCUUUUCUCCUUGUCAUGGUUACAGUCACCCUGUAUAUGGCAAGUGGAAGAGACAAUGGAAUGGAGGACAUUUAUUUGUCUGUGAUGGGUUUCUGAUCAAGAAUCAGAAGAAGCAUCAAGAAUCUAGUUUGGGUGGACUCCGACCAGCUCCUCUGUCAGCAUUUUUUGACGCAGUUCAGAGCAAAUAAUACCCAAAUCUUAUGGCUUACGAAAACUGGUGAAACUGAAAUAAGGCUUGAUGACAAUGCAAUGCAAUUUGGACACAGUUUCUGAGACGCCAAUUCUAGACGGCCUUUAUAGACUGCAAUUAUAAUCCAAGCGGAAUAGGACAGAAGAAACCUUUAUACCUCAUUAGAACCUGGGAGAUGAUAAGAAAUUGAGGAAUUACAGCCUCUCAUGGAAUAUAAGGAGGUUUCUCCAUGGGGAAGACAGCAUCCACUUUUUAAAGCCUUUGGCCUCAAAGGGACAUAAAGUUUUUAAGGAGAAACUGCAUUUUUGUCAAACCCAGGUUUGUUAUUUGGGGCACAUGACCCAAAUGGGCUUCAUGGUAUUGUGAAUUUCCAACCCAAAAUCAAAUACUGGCUAUUGCUGAAAGUGGGUUGUCUGGCUAUUGUUGAAACUGGAUUCCAAAAUUUUCUCUCAUGGCUAGGUCUUUAUAUGCCUUACUAAGAACAUCAAAUCUGACUCUAUUACUUGGGAAGAUUAGGAUAACUUAGCUAUUAAUACCUUAAAGAAUAGCUUGAAAAAUCUUUCUGUCACUGGACUCACUAAUUAUCAAAUUCCCUUUUUUGCUUUUCAUAUAUGAGAAGAAAGGAUGUACUUUUGGACUACUUACCCAAAAUCAUGGGGAUCACUAUUGCCCCAUAGACUACCAGAGUCAGCAGCUAGACCCUGUGACAUGGGGAUAUCUCCUUUCCUCAGAACCAUUCCUGCUACUGUCCUCUAAAUUAGGGCCAUUGAAGAAAUAGUGGUGAUAUCCCUCGUAGCCAUUUUUGUAACCCAUUCAGUUAAAGCCCUCCAGAAUUCUCAUCAUACUCAAUACCAUUUGGCCAGUAAUUUAAACUCCUAUGCAAUCCUCUCACAGUUCUUUCUCACUGUAAUAACUUCAACACUGCCACACAUCUUUUCUGUUCAGAAUAUAAUACUCUUGAUAACUGUUGGCCAGGACACAUGGUCUUUAGACCCCUGGAGAUGAUUCAUGGGAAACUCCUCUAACCAAUGCUGAGUUUUCAUAGUUUACUGAUGGUUCUUAUUUAAAGGGAAAAAAAAA